UACGUAGGUGACAAGCGUUGUCCGGAUUUACUGGGCGUAAAGAGCGCGCAGGCGGUCGUUCAAGUCGAGUGUGAAAGCCCCCGGCUCAACUGGGGAGGGUCACUCGAUACUGAUCGACUCGAAGGCAGGAGAGGGUAGUGGAAUUCCCGGUGUAGUGGUGAAAUGCGUAGAUAUCUGGAGGAAUACCGGUGGCGAAGGCGGCAUCCUGGACCAUUACUGACGCUGAGGCGCGAAAGCUAGGGGAGCAAACGGG
rnacentral:rRNA from 1 species